GGUUCUUUAGCUCAGUUGGUAGAAGCGCGGACGGUAAUCACGAUGUCCCAUGUCGCAGGUUCGAGUCCUGCAAGAACCA
rnacentral:tRNA from 1 species